CACACCGCCUGUGAUCGUGAUGAUAGACUUGCCUUAGUCUCUCUCGGACUUGGCUGUGAACCACACCUGGAUAUAUUUGAGAAGUGAUGGCAUGCGCCCACUCUCAGUUCCAGGUGAAAACAUUCUGGAAGAGGAUAAUUGACCAAAGAUGGGUCAGAGAGGGUAUGAUGGAGACCAAGGAAGACAGGAAAGAUUGAAGCCUGGUGUCCGACACCCAUCCUGUAGCAUCCUCGGACCCGCACCUAACACAGCCCGAACCCCGGGAGUGGCACAACCCAAUCAGAGAAAGCGCCAGGGGAAGCCUGGCUGGAAGAGCUGAACCUGGAACUUCCGACCUGAGAAAUAGGGAGACGCCCCACCCUCCGCCUGCAGCAGCGCCAGCCAAUCCCAGGGCAGCAGUGGAGCGAGCGCUACGGAAACGCAGAGGAGACAAACUAAUUCCAAACGAGAACGUGACAGAAAGUCUUGGGAUGUCUGAGCCACUGCCAGACGGUGACAGAUCUCGCAAGACCUGCCUCGCCUCUCAUCUCUCAGGAACGCAGCUGACUGAAGGAAGCCACCUGUUCCGAGGCCGCUGACUUUCCCCGUAAUCAAGAAAUAACCACACGGGACAAAAAUCUCUUUGUUGGUG